AUUGAACGCUGGCGGAAUGCUUUACACAUGCAAGUCGAACGGCAGCACGGGGCAACCUGGUGGCGAGUGGCGAACGGGUGAGUAAUACAUCGGAACGUGCCCAAUCGUGGGGGAUAACGUAGCGAAAGUUACGCUAAUACCGCAUACGAUCUACGGAUGAAAGCGGGGGAUCGCAAGACCUCGCGCGAAUGGAGCGGCCGAUGUCAGAUUAGGAGUUGGUGGGGUAAAGGCUCACCAAGCCGACGAUCUGUAGCUGGUCUGAGAGGACGACCAGCCACACUGGGACUGAGACACGGCCCAGACUCCUACGGGAGGCAGCAG
rnacentral:rRNA from 1 species